rnacentral:rRNA from 1 species
AUGGCGGAGGAAUCAUGGAGCAACUCCCCCCCGUCUGCCAAGAGAAUGGCGGAGGCAUCAUGGAGCAACUCCCCUCCGUCUGCCAAGCAUCAUCGUGGUGAGGCGUCUGGCAAGGAGCCGCUGGUGGUCGACGACGACGUUCCGGUCCCCGGGCAGAAGCGGGACUACACGGUGCCGCUCAAGGUUGAUAUCCACCUGAAGGACCCGCUGGAUGUCGUAUGCACCAGCAAUCCAGACGAAGCCGACAAGAUGAUCCGCAAGAUGAGGAGGAGGCUCGGCGGCAUGCUUCCUCAGAAUAUCAGCGUUGAUGUCGAGUAUACCAGGGAAGACAAACCUCCGCAAAUUGCUGCAGUUCUGCAGUUAUGCAUGGAGGAUCUCGUCCUGGUAUACCACAUCACCGCGGCAACCAAAUGGCCCAAGGAACUCCGCCCGCUCCUGCAGGAGAAGAAGUUGUACACCUUUGUUGGCUUCUCCAUUGGAGGUGACAAGGAUAAGCUGAAGUUGUCUGGUUUAGAGAUCAACCUCGACAACCUCAUCCACCCAUCCUACAAGGAAAUGAAGCAGAAGAUCGACAGGAAAUCGGACCACCUACUAUGGGGGGACAGCCCACUGCCAAACAAGCUCAUCGAGUAUGCCGUGAAAGAUGUGUACGUCACCUACGAGGCAUGGAAGAAAAUCGAAAUCACCAAAGAAGGUUUGGAGCUCUGGCAAGAGGCGGAGGAUCAUUGGGAUGACCCCUACUACUGGGGAUAUUGA